CCAAAGUAAGCCUUUUUGGUUGUUCUAGAAGCUUGGAAGAGUUUAAUCUAAUUUAAUUUAUUUUGAUUGUGAACGCUUGGGAACUUCCUGGUUCUGACUGAGCUUAGCAAUGACUAAAUCCUCAGAGCAUCUCUUCUCAAGCAGUGCUGAUUUGGGGGGCAGUAAAUCAAUUACCCAGCCAAGGAUUUUACCUUCUUGUUUUUCCACAUUUCUAUAUUUUGUGUUCCUUCACUGUCAUUUCACUUCUAACUAACAAGAAUGCAGAAUUAAAGUUGGUUUUAUCAGCAACUGUGAAUGUCUCUGCUUAGAGUCAAUUUUCCUUUCCUUGCACGUGCCUGUCUCAGUUGCUCAAUUGUGUUGAUGAAAGUUUGAAACUUCCCCUUCACGAGAGGUCAGUGAAGCUUGUAAUUUGUCACUUCAAGACAUCAGUUCCUAUAGCAAAUCUCUCAUUAGAUUUUCCCUGUGCAUAUCAGAGGUUGAGGUCAUAUGGCCCCAGGUUGUCUUGUCUCUGAGGGGAGUGCUGGCAUUGGAGUAUUUGAUUGCUUCACCACAGCUGUGAAUUUGAAGAAGUCAAUCUCUUCUGGUCUGCACUCCCUCUAGAGCAUAUUGCCUCCUCUGCACAAUUUAACAGUGAUUGGCUGUUUAAAUAGCUUUUGAAUAAGUUUGUUCUUAAACAUGUUUCCCCUAGUUAUCCUCCAUGUAGUGUGGAGCUUCUGCUCUGAGUAGCUUACUAGUUUGCCCUGGUACUUCUCAUGUUCUCUGCUCCUUCUGAUCUUUUUCUAAAUGUAGCAGUGAAUAGCUAGGGAAAGUCAUGUACUCUUAUGCUUCUGCUGCUGUGAAAAGAAAUUGAUGCUUAUCAUUGUGCCUGGAAGUCCACUUGCAACUUUCCUGUUAAAACCAUUUUUCCAUCUGCCAAGACACGAAUCGCUCUGUAAUUACUUUCCCAAGGGUUUCUGGUAGGAAGGCUUCCUGCAGUCACUCCACGACACAUUUCCUCCUCAUCCUUCCAGUAGACUUCAGCUUGCUGAAGCCUCUCACUUCGGGUUCCUUUUCUCCACAGAAAUAGGUUGUGAAGAUGACUUUCCAUGCCCUUUUGAUUUUUCUGUUGGGCGGUGUAUGGGAACUGCUGAGUACCGGCCUGAACCACUGAUUGCACACCUGGGAAAGCACCAGUCAGCUGGGAGCACAGGUGAAGGCAAUUCUAUGUAACCAGAAGGGGUGGAGCCUGGCUGCACCUCUCUUAGACCUCAUUUAAGGAUUGACUGACCCUGGGGAGAGAUCUUUUGGGGGAGAUUCCUCCUUGGUGAAGCUUUUUUCUGUGAUCCUGGAAUCUUCUGAUGUUGAGGACAGACUGCCAUUUUAACUCAGUUAUGCCAAAGAUCCAACAAUGUGGUCCACAGAAUGAAGCUUCUGAAAUGUGGAUGGUGUGACAACAGUUCUCUGAUCCAUCAUUGAAUUAUUUGAUAAACUUCAACUUCAAUCAACAGAAGUAAGCAAGAUUCACAAUAAGUUCCUUUGUAGGAAAGCCCAAACUCACCGAUAGUAAAUGAAAGCCUUCUGAGAAUAAAAUCCUGAAGAAAACUGUACUACAGCUAAAUUACAUGCUGGAUGAGCUUUGGCACUGAAUCUCCCAAAGUUUAUGAAAUUACUGCACACAGCUUUGUAAAGAAUCAUGAAAAGUGAAGAAAGACCUGGUACUAAUUCACGCCACACUGUGCUACACGGCGCUCCUGGCUGCAUCGCACCUGUUGAUGUUUAUGUGCCAAGGUACAUCACGCCAACUGCAAUGGCAAGGAAGGUACAGCUGCAAUUGAGCCUGCAAACAGGACAGCUGCAUCUCAGGGAGCACUGCUCUCCAGCACCGGGCCAGGAACCCGCUUCAACCACUGGAGCAAACGUAGAGGAGAUGUUUGAAAGCUUUGCACAUCGCGUGGCCGCUGCAGCCCACCAGUCGCUCCGUGCUGCACAGCAAGGAGAGGAAACAGCUGUGGGUCGGUGUACUUCGGGCAGUACAGCAGCAGGGAUCAUCUUGACCGACGCGUGCUACCAGGAGGAAGAGACGCAGGCAUCUGAAGCGACACGUCCCUUAGCAGCACUGGGGUAACACACAAACUGCAGAACAGAAGUUGCAGGCAAAGGAAUUAUCCUUGUUGGCAGCUUCAUUUCUCAUCCAAAUGGUUUUGUAUGAAGCUAUACUGAAAAGGGAGUUGAGAUUUCCCAUCACAACCAGACAACACAGCAAUUGCAAAAAACUUGGAAAAAAGUCAUCUGAGGAACUGGGAAUAUUUUUAAUGACUAGGGAUGGAAGCGCAGUGCUGGUCUGUGUUUGUGACUUGACAGAAGCGUUCACAAAGCUGCCUCAGGAACAUCAGGCUUCUAGGGCAUCAUUCAGACCUCUGCUUGCAGCUGCCUUUUUUAGACUUAAAAAUCAUACCAAGUUCUCAAGCUCUGUAUUUCUACAACUGCUGCAUGCCUCUCCAAAACUUCACUUUGACUUAAAUGAAAGAAACACCCCAAAUCUAAGUGGGUACACAUCAUAUUGCUCUACGUAGAUGCCUGAGUGUCUCCUAAGUACCAGGAGGUUCCACGAUUUGUCACAAUUCAUGGGGCUUGUGGAGGGCAGGAUCUUUGUGUCCCUCCUUAAUGGUAAUCUUACACCUCCAAGGAGAUGGAGAAAGUCCUUUUGCACAUGCAGAUGAAAACACAAAGGAGCAAUAGCUAUGGCCUCCUUUCAGUCCUGAGGAAAGGAAAUUGUCCCGACUUCACUCAGCUCCAUCUCUUGGUUUAUAGGACAUUUUCUUCCCUUGAUUGAAAAUGCAAAGAUUCCCUGAGUCCUGCUCGCUUCAGCGAAUCUCUUCAGUCUUCUGUAUGGAACAACAGUGACGUGCAGUGGCUGCUCAGGCAAAGCACAGCAAUGUAGGAGCUAUGCUGGUAAAAUGGCAUUUCUGUGACCGGUUAGAUGGGUGGCCAGAACGUGACAACAGUUCAGAAAUGAAUUUGGUGACAUUCCAAGUUGUGAUUGUGUGCAUCACAAAACUGUUUUCAAGCAUGAAUUUGUACUGUAUCUUCAUUUCUCAUGUAACAGUGCUAUUUAGAGGGUGAUCCCAUCCUAACCUGAUUUCUAAGUUAGUAAAAAAUAUUUGUACUGACUUGCACUAGUUGUACAGGUUGCAGCUGACAAUGCAGGCUGAAAUCUCUGCAUAUAAAGAAAGAAAAUCUGAUGAAAAUUAUUUGAUCUCUAAAUGAGAUCUUGGAGAGGUUUAGUAAAAUUGUCUGUUCAGCUGGAUGCAGUCAGGUGGGAGCACUGCCAUUAGAUAUGCUGCAAUACAGAAAGGGCUGUCAGGCAGCCAGAGGUCACGGAAUUAAUUUGUGGCUGAGCAAGAUUUUGGGGGAUGCAGUUGUCAUUUCGGAGGUACGUGCUGCUUUCUAAGAGCCUCCAGAGUUUCGUUUCUGGUCGUGUUCUCUACAUUCCAAAGGGAUUAGGGGCUACAAGGGGAUUUGCUGUGUGAGUGGCUCACUCUCUGUGGGAACAUUUUCUGAACUCCUUUGGCCAGCCAUUCGUACAGGCAAACCCAAGGCAGGGGGGAUAGUCAGAAGGUUAGCUGGUCUCUGGAAACCUGAGGCUCAUCUGUGCCAAAUUCAGCUCUCUUCCCAGCGGGCGAGUGCGCGGUUCUUCAGGCUUUUUGGAAAUAAAAUGGCAGAGAGGCAGCUUUAGAAAGAGUGGCUGUGGGAGUUACUGCACCAGUGAAAUAUUGCUCAGGGAAGGAUUGAUGAGCUCUAGGCUGUGUAGGAAGAGGCCCUUGAAGUUGGAGAGGGCAGUUUGAAUUAUAGGACAGCUACCCAG